rnacentral:rRNA from 1 species
GGGUGCGAUCAUACUAGCACUGAUGCACCGGAUCCCAUCAGAACUUUGCAGUUAAGUGUGCUUGGGCAAGAGUAGUACUGGGAUGGGUGUCCUCCUGGGAAGUCCUCGUGUUGCAACCC